CCUACGGGAGGCUGCAGUGAGGAAUAUUGGUCAAUGGGCGGAAGCCUGAACCAGCCAAGUAGCGUGCAGGAUGACGGCCCUACGGGUUGUAAACUGCUUUUAUACGGGAAUAACGCGCCUUACGUGUAGGGCUUUGCAUGUACCGUAUGAAUAAUGACCGGCUAAUUCCGUGCCAGCAGCCGCGGUAAUACGGAAGGUCCGGGCGUUAUCCGGAUUUAUUGGGUUUAAGGGGAGCGUAGGCCGCAUGUCAAGCGUGCUGUGAAAUGUCCGGUCUCAACCCGGGCCUUGCAUCGCGAACUGGGGUGCUUGAGUCCGCGGAAGGCAGGCGGAAUUCGUCGUGUAGCGGUGAAAUGCUUAGAUAUGACGAAGAACACCGAUUGCGAAGGCAGCUUGCUGCAGCGGAACUGACGCUGAUGCUCGAAAGCGUGGGUAUCGAACAGGAUUAGAUACCCGGGUAGUC
rnacentral:rRNA from 1 species